UCCCUGGUGGCUCAGAUGGUAAAGAAUCUGCCUGUAAUGCAGGAGACCCUGGUUUGAUCCCUGGGUUGGGAA
rnacentral:tRNA from 1 species